GGCUCAGGACGAACGCUGGCGGCGUGCCUAACACAUGCAAGUCGAACGAGGUCCAUGAGAGCUUGCUCUCAGAAGACCUAGUGGCGAACGGGUGAGUAACACGUGAGAAACCUGCCUCGGAGUGGGGAAUAACUCGGGGAAACUCGAGCUAAUACCGCAUAUCUUCACAUGAUCGCAUGGUCGAGUGAAGAAAGAAUUUCGCUCUGAGAGGGUCUCGCGGCCUAUCAGCUUGUUGGUGGGUAACGGCCCACCAAGGCAACGACGGGUAGCUGGUUUGAGAGAACGAUCAGCCACACUGGGACUGAGACACGGCCCAGACUCCUACGGGAGGCAGCAGUGGGGAAUCUUGCGCAAUGGGCGAAAGCCUGACGCAGCAACGCCGCGUGCGGGAUGACGGCCUUCGUGGUUGUAAACCGCUUUCAGCAGGGACGAAAAUGACGGUACCUGCAGAAGAAGCCCCGGCUAACUACGUG
rnacentral:rRNA from 1 species